AUACGUAGGUGGCAAGCGUUGUCCGGAUUUACUGGGCGUAAAGGGUGCGUAGGCGGCCAUAUAAGUCAGGUGUGAAAAACCACGGCUCAACCGAGGUAUUGCACAUGAAACUGUAUGGCUUGAGUACAGGAGAGGAAAGUGGAAUUCCUAGUGUAGCGGUGAAAUGCGUAGAGAUUAGGAAGAACACCAGUGGCGAAGGCGGCUUUCUGGACUGUAACCGACGCUGAGGCACGAAAGCGUGGGGAGCAAACAGGAUUAGAUACCCUGGUAGUCCACGCUGUAAACGAUGGAUACUAGGUGUAGGGGUUUAAAGACUUCUGUGCCGGAGUUAACGCAAUAAGUAUCCCGCCUGGGGAGUACGGCCGCAAGGCUGAA
rnacentral:rRNA from 1 species